UUACCACUCUGGCCUUUUGGCUUAGAUCAAGUGUAGUAUCUGUUCUUAAUAGGUUAGCGGGUUCUAAGCCAAAAGAUGAUUUUGCGGCGCUUUUUACUGACUAUUUUCUUUUGUUUCGCAGUUUAACCACUAUUAUGGAGGCACCGCCUCCAUUCUUGGUUAUCAUAUUUUUGCCGCCCUUGCUCCCUUUCCUCUGCUUGCACGACAGGGACGUGAUGACCUUGCCGCUGCACUACUGGCCUGUGUCGUCGGGGGAUC
rnacentral:snRNA from 1 species